GAUGGAAAGAGAAUCACAUAUUCGAAAAUAAUGUAAUAAUGGAACAGAUUUCACCUCGUCAACUGCGGGGAUCUGACCAAAUAUGUCAUCCUUAAGUGGCAGUGAGCUGAUCGAGCUGCUGCACAUGCUGUGGAGCCCCAACAAACACAUGAUGGGACGAGGAUUCAUUUGCCCUGAUAUUGGCCGAAUAACAGUAAGUUGCUGUGCUCAUGUUAUGACAAUUUUGUGGCUUUUGAGCUGGGCAAGGUAUCAGGAACAUGUAUUUCCACCUGCCUAGUUCCUAGACAAUAUUUUAUUGACCCAUGAGUCAGAUUAAAA